GCGGUGGGCGUGAUCCGGGCACUUAGGGCAGGAUGAACGCUGCUUUCCAAGAUGGCGACGGAGGGAGGAGGGAAGGAGAUGAACGAGAUUAAGACCCAAUUCACCACCCGGGAAGGUCUGUACAAGCUGCUGCCGCACUCGGAGUACAGCCGGCCCAACCGGGUGCCCUUCAACUCGCAGGGAUCCAACCCUGUCCGCGUCUCCUUCGUAAACCUCAACGACCAGUCUGGCAACGGCGACCGCCUCUGCUUCAAUGUGGGCCGGGAGCUCUACUUCUAUAUCUACAAGGGGGUCCGCAAGGCUGCUGACUUGAGUAAACCAAUAGAUAAAAGGAUAUACAAAGGAACACAGCCUACUUGUCAUGACUUCAACCACCUAACAGCCACAGCAGAAAGUGUCUCUCUCCUAGUGGGCUUUUCCGCAGGCCAAGUCCAGCUUAUAGACCCAAUCAAAAAAGAAACUAGCAAACUAUUUAAUGAGGAAAGACUAAUAGACAAGUCACGAGUAACCUGUGUCAAAUGGGUUCCUGGUUCGGAAAGCCUUUUCCUAGUAGCCCAUUCAAGUGGGAACAUGUACUUGUAUAAUGUGGAGCACGCAUGUGGCACCACAGCCCCCCACUACCAGCUUCUGAAGCAGGGAGAGAGCUUUGCCGUGCACACUUGCAAGAGCAAAUCCACGAGGAACCCUCUCCUCAAGUGGACGGUGGGCGAGGGGGCCCUCAACGAGUUUGCUUUCUCCCCAGAUGGCAAGUUCUUGGCGUGCGUGAGCCAGGACGGCUUCCUGCGGGUGUUCAACUUUGACUCAGUGGAGCUGCACGGCACCAUGAAAAGCUACUUCGGAGGCUUGCUGUGCGCGUGCUGGAGCCCGGACGGCAAGUACGUCGUGACGGGCGGAGAGGACGACCUUGUGACCGUCUGGUCCUUUGGAGACUGCCGCGUGAUCGCGCGGGGCCACGGGCACAAAUCCUGGGUCAGCGUGGUGGCGUUUGACCCCUACACCACUAGUGUGGAAGAGAGCGACCCUAUGGAGUUAAGUGGCAGCGACGAGGACUUCCAGGACCUUCUUCACUUUGGGAGAGACCGAGCAAACAGUACCCAGUCCCGGCUGUCCAAGCGGAACUCGACCGAGAGCCGCCCCGUCAGUGUCACGUAUCGGUUCGGCUCCGUGGGCCAGGACACGCAGCUCUGCUUAUGGGACCUCACGGAAGACAUCCUUUUCCCCCACCAGCCCCUCUCCAGAGCAAGGACGCACACGAACGUCAUGAACGCCACGAGUCCUCCUGCCGGAAGCACUGGCAACAGCGUCACGACCCCCGGCAACUCGGCGCCCCCUCCCCUGCCGCGGUCCAACAGCCUCCCGCAUUCCGCCGUCUCCAGCACCGGCAGCAAGGGCAGCAUCGCGGACGGGGCCAUCGCUUCCGGGGUCAGCAAAUUCGCGACGCUCUCACUACACGACCGGAAGGACAGGCACCAUGAGAAAGAUCACAAACGAAACCAUAGCAUGGGACACAUCUCUAGCAAGAGCAGCGACAAACUGAACCUAGUUACUAAAACCAAAACGGACCCAGCUAAAACUUUGGGGACGCCCCUGUGUCCUCGGAUGGAAGAUGUUCCCUUGUUAGAGCCGCUCAUCUGUAAAAAGAUAGCACAUGAAAGACUGACUGUAUUAAUUUUUCUUGAAGACUGUAUAGUCACUGCUUGUCAGGAGGGAUUUAUUUGCACAUGGGGAAGGCCUGGUAAAGUGGUAAGUUUUAAUCCUUAAUGCUGCACCAGAUCUAGAACUUGAAUAGGUAGUGAUUUUUUUCUUGCGGGAGGGGCGGGGUGUACAAUGAAUGUGAAUGACACUUCUUAUUCUUAAUGUAAAUCUAAAUGCAUCAGAGCCAUAAUUUUGGAUACUGCAUGCCAUGUAAUUCUGAAUCAUUUGAUAAUUCACCUUAGAACGUUUAAAAACUAUAAUCAAACUAAUGGCCAGCCAAGUCAGUCACCCUCCUGGGAGUAUAUAGAGUCCCAAGGUUAGCGCUCCUGUAUUAGACUAUUUCGAUUUUAGGAAAAUCAUGACAGUGUGGGGAAACAAUGACUUUAAAAUGCUAAAAUUAAAAUUUCUGCUUUAACUGGAAUAUUUUUGCUUAACUACUCAAUUAGAAUAUUGUACACCUGAUCAGAGUGUGUAUUCAAUACGAACGGCCAUUAAUUGUCAUUUAUAGUCCAACUUUUUAUCUUAAUCAUCAAAUGUUUAGGAAUCUAUGAAAUUUAACUUUAGGAACAAAGUGUUCAGCAGGGUUGAUUGAUAUUAUUUUUACAUCGUUCUGGCAAUCCACAGAAAGAGAAGAGCCUUAAUUUUUAAAACCCAUUUUAGUCAUUUUAUGACAAUUAAAAUUGUUUAAUAAACAUCUUUUUUCAAAGAAGCAGUUUGUAGCACUUUGAUUGAGACUCUGUGCACUAAAUAAAAUACCCACGUUUCUCAGAGCCUGGACAGUUACCGCGAACUGCGGGCUGAGGGCGCCAGCAGUGUUGUCAGAAGUGCCUCUUGCCACACAAGCCAAGAUCUUUUAUGGUGGAUGUGAUUUGCUUACGUUUUUUCCAACAAGGGGAAGGAGCUUUUCUUUUCUUUUCCUUUUUUUUAUUUUUUAUUUUUUGGUGUGGGUUUUUGUUUUUUGGUCAAAAAGGCACAUGACCUUAGGCCCUAGGCAGACUCCUCAGCCUUGUUUGUGAAGACUGAUAGGCCCCCAAGGUUUCAGAGAACUUGAAAUUUUUCCCUCGUUUGGGUUUUGUGUUCCCACCAGAGGGGAAGGGCAGGUGCAGGUUGCUCCUUCUCCUUGGAGGGCAGUCGUGGUCCCGGAUCUUCCCGGAUCUUCCGGAUCAUUCUCGGGAUGCCCUUGGCCUCUGUCUCAGGGACGCCAUCCCCUACCCCAGCGCCUGCCCCUGGGGGCCUGUGGCUGCUGGGGGCAGGGCUGGCUCUCCCUCUGCCCAGACAGCUGCGACUCUAAUUCCUUCAGAUCCUUAUCAACUGUCAGACGAGUUGCUUUUCAAAUUCUAGUUUUCACAGUGGAUGAGAGGGCUCUUUGACCCAUAUGUUUCGUGUCAAGAUGAUAAUGAUCUCAUUUGUUAGCUCACUUUGGUCACUUAAGUUUGUUUUUCUGUUGUGCACGCCUUUGUAAUUAAAUAUAGAGAUACUGAUAAUUUAUACUGGUUUGAGUAGUGAACGCGAUUCAGCAAAGUGCCGACCGGGAGGCUCCAGUGUGUCGGGUGCGAGGCUCUGGUUGAUGGGGCAGCUCCGUGCUCUUAAAGCCGCCCUCCUGGGAAGGCCAGGCCGGCUCCCCGCUCCACACGCGUCCGGGCCGAGCCGUUCACUCUGUGUCCCCCGUGCUCAUUAGUGUGGUGGUUUCUGCGACCUGUGACAGCGGGGGUGUGACCUGUGACAGUUCAUGCAUCGCGGUCCAUGGGGAUGUUAGUGUCCUGUCUGCCUUUAAGAUAUGGUCCUUUGUUCCUAAAUGUUAACUGAUCUGAGGUAGCAAAGACAGCCGUGCUUGUGGACUCUUGCAGCUUUGCAGGCUAGGAAAUUGGGCUGUCAGGUGGAGAGCAGGAACCAGCACUCCAUGUGCAAUUUUGUGUACCUGCAUAGUUUUAGAAAUUCAGUUUCAAAUGCUUCUGAGGCAUUGAGUAUGCAGUUUCAAAAUUCAGGACUUUGUAAUUGGCCCAAGUGGCUGAAUCCCAGGUAAGUAGCCUUUACGGGGGAGUGUGUCGCGCACAACCUUCCAAUUCCGAGCGCUGUGCUCCUUCAGUGCGGGCAGGAAAGCCACGGGUGGGGCCCGUGUAGCUGAUGCUUGUGCGACGGGGGCCCUUUCUGGUUCUUUCUGUCCUUCAGCGUCCGCUGGGGCAGCUUACCCAGGGCGCGGUCUGUGGGUGGGAGCGGGGGUGGGAGAGGCAAGAGGAGGGUGUUACUGUCCCCUUAAAAAACAAGCCCCGCAACGCGCUCGUAGAAGCCGGGCUCCAUCUCCUCCACGCCGCCCCCACAUUAAACCUCCGUGGUCCCUGCACAGUUUGGGGUUUGGGGCUUGGUCACAGUCUCAGUCUUCCAGCUGCUGCUGGGUUCUCCUGUGAGCCGUUGACUUGGGACUAAGGAUAAAUGCCUUAAUGGAAGAAAAAGAGAGGAGUGGAAAUACAGGGAUAAGCUCUGACAGUGAUUAUUGCCUCAGACAUCCAGAAACGAUGAGGGACAAAAGGCCCUGAAGCUUUCUCAGUUUUUACAGGCGUGUAACACGCGUGCCCCCAGUAUUCUGUUCCACCGCUGGGCUCCACAGCCACGUGCAAGUGCAGGCUGGCAGGUGGCCCGGCAGCCGCUUCUCCCCGAUUCCUCCACUUCCUGUGGUACAUCCUGAAUUUUUAAGAAAUUGUCAAGUAUUGAACUUGUGCUGAAGUUGGUGAAGCAGCUUUAUCGAUGUCCGCACCCGUGUACAAGGUUCUCGUUACCUCCUGCUUGGGAGGGAGAGCUUUGAUUUCCUGGUUGAGGAAGCUCAAAGUGUGAGGGGAGAGCCAAAGGGCCGGGGAGCACCGCGGAAGGAAUCCUUUGAAAACCCAAAGGCCACGUUCGUGGACCUGUCUGUCCGAGGAGGAACUAGAAGCAGAGGUCGACCGUGGUUUCCCGGGAAAAACACACGGCGCGCCGCGUCCCGUUCUCUGCGGGAGGGCUUGGCCCAGGGUGACUGGCCGCGGCCCCUGCGCGUAGGGGAACGAGGGGCAGCGGUUGGCCUCCUGUGCGGGUCAUCCCGCUGUGCCGGGCGUGUCCACUCCUGGGGCUUCCUUCCUCUGCAUUCACGUGUAGGCCUGAUAAGUGACCCGGAGGAGAUGUCCCCCUCGGGCACCACGGCAGGGAACAAUGGGCAGAGGCUCCCUCCUUGUCCAGAGCACACCUGUCGCGCUGGGCUGCUUGGGACUGUCACCUGUUCAGGUAGUCAGGGGGCUCAGCCCCACCACCCCAGUGCUGGCCAGUGAGAGGGGCGGUCUGGGAGGGUGGAGUCCAGGGCUCCUCUUGCAAGGCACUUGUAUCCAGCUGUUCCCUUUGAAACUCAGAGCCAAGUUCAAAGCUGUGUGUAGAAGCGCCUCCGGGAGAGGGACGCUCUUCCACGGGUACUUUCUAUUCAUUGCUGCAGCUGUUACGUGGACUUUGUGUCAUGGUCACAUCGCUGUUGCUCGAGUUAAAUAUGUAAAAGAAAACUUCUCUGCAUUUUUGAUUUCUGUAUACCUAAGUUUAUUAAAGGUUACUGUUAGGUGACACUGUAUAAAAUUGUAUGAAUAUUUACCCUUAAUGAAAAUCAAAACUCAUAUGUAUUUCCUUUUUUACAUUCUCAUCUAAUUUCUUGAAAACUUGAAUAAAUUUCAUAAAGAGCCUUCCUAACAUGAAAUGUUGGUAAAUUAAGUUCUUAACUGUUGCAAUAAUUAAUGAAGCUUUAAUACCAGUAUUGUUACUUUAUAAUUUUAAGAAAAUCGUGUUUCUGUUUCACCGCCUUGGUUUUUAGCUGUUCCCUUGUCACUGUCACAGCUAGAGACUUACUACAUACUUGAUAUUCUGAAGAACUUUGGGGCUGUCCUCUGUAUAAUGACGUUAAAUAAACGCGUGAAUGAACCGUAAAUGUAGAUAAAUUUUCAGUAGUCACUUUCACAUCAGAGCUUCAAAAAAAUCUCAGUGAACCGAAAAAGAAAAGCUUCUAAAUGCUGUAAAAUCAAGGGCCUUGUUAAUGUUUAUAGAACGAAGAGCCCCAGGAAUUGCUACCUCUUAUUACUGAUGCUGAGUUUUUCCGAAUUAGAAGCUUUCUAAGUGAGAUGUUUGUUCUGAGCACGGGAGGUAUUCCCUGUUUUCUGUGACCUUCCUCUGAGCCAAGUCCCACGUGGGGAAGGACCGUGGGUUGGCUUUGUGGCCGAGCUGGUGCCGGUUCUGUGUGGAGCGCGCGCUGAGUUCCCAGGCGGCGGGCAGGCGACGCUGUAGCAGCUCUUCUCCUGAGGAGGGUUUGUCAUUUUCCGUUAGCCGGAGGCGUUGUCAUCGCCGUGGAGGUGGUCCUGCCUCGCGCCCGGGCCCCGAGGCUCCGGUGCAGGACGAGCCCCGUGAGCAGGGCAGUGGGAGCCGGUCCUCCCGGGGCGGGAAGCAGGAGCGAUGUGCACUGGCCUGCUCUGGACCGCCCCUCGCUCUCGGCAGCGCCGGCGCCUCCGGCCCCGAAAGAACCUUCAUGGCAAGAGUUCCAGGCCUCGGCCCGCACGCUCAGCCCGGGGCUCGUGGGGGCAGCAGUGAGCUGCCCGGGACAGAGGCCUCAUCAGGCCCUGGGGCUCCCACUCAGCCGCUGCGUCCCUGCCGUUUCGUGAGACGCCUGGGCCUGGAGCUCGGGGCUGGCAAAGCCUCUGGAAGCCCCUCCUGGCCGCCUGUCCUUCUCGGUGGACUCCAGAAUCUUCCUGGUCCUCCUGAGCCGCCCGUGCUGCAGGGUGUUGGGCUCUUGCCUUUGACUCGAAGCUGCCAGCGCAGAAGAGACGGUCCGAUGCUCCGCCCUCAGAGGGACCUGCUUGGACUUUACUACCACAGGAGCUGCACGUUUGCUCCUUAGCGCUCGAGGGGAUUUUAAGCCCUGAACGCUAGUAGGUUGACAGGAAGUCUAAAAAGACGCACACAGGCACAGCAUUUUGAUCUUUUAAAGAUAACUAGUUUGUACACCUUGAAAACAUAAGUCCAUUCUCCCACGUGUGGCUGCCUUUUGAAACAGUCGGUUCUGGACCAGCAGAUCUCUUGAAAGGGACAGAACAUCUAGGGGUGCUCAGCCCCACCCCCUCUGGUGUCGGUAACCUCUAAACCAGCCUUCACGUGGAUGCCCCAUGACGGGACUCAAGCUAGAAGACACUGGAGGUCCCAGCCUGCAGAGAGGAUGUCAGAGCCUCAGCGGGUCACCCGGCGGGAGGGCCUGUAGGCCGUGGGCGAGGCUCUCUUCCCCAGCACGGUUCUCGCAGGAGCCCUUGACUGGUUGUGCCCUAAGAAAGCCUUUUCGCAGGUGUCUGAAAACACCACGAUCGUUUUCCCUGGGCGACUUUUCCCAGGUUGAGUGGCCUCUUUGGGGAAAUGUGUCACCGCCAGUGUGGCCAGUCACCGGGCAGGUCAGGGCCGGCCAAGGGGCAGCUGCCUAGUGGAGCCAAGGUCCCAGGCCGCCGUGAACAGUGGGUCUGGGGCAGGGAGGGGUCCAGAUGCUCAGAGAAUGGCUCAGAGGACACGCCGGUGGAGUGGGCCCCUCCCAGCCCGCACCCACUUCCUAAACUUGGCUCACUGAGUCCAGGCGUCACGCGCCUUGGAAUGAAAUGGGAGGUCCUCUGUCCAGCUCUUCUAUGGUUCUUUUAUGCAGCGGCCUGGGCAGUGUGAGUGGCGGGAUUCUUGUGGAUGAAAUAAGGAGAAUGUAUCCAUAGCUAGAAGCGGCCCUGAGGAAGUUAGCCGGGUGACGGUUCUCAUCGUUUGUGUACCGUCUCUAAAAGGGCCUCACUUCGCAAAUAUUUACCUCUUAGUCUCCCAGUGAAGUGAGAUAAUUCGGGGGAGCUCCUGGCAGGUUGCCUGGAACCGGAGCCUCCAGGGUUAAGUGCUCUGUGGCAGGUGCAGGGCCACCCCUCCAGGUGAGGCUGACCUGGCCGAGGGCCGCAGCAGCGCUGAGCUCCUCCUGUAGCACUUCUCUGCCGGUCUCGAGAGGCUGCCAGUCUGCAGCAAGACCUGUCCCGGGGCCAGUGUGCACGUCACUUUCGUCUGGGGUGAAGAGGGUGAUUCUGGGAGUCGACUGACCAGGCUUUGAACAGCGCCGGAUGCCCAUCCCACGACCACUCUCUCGAGGGUCUGCGGUCUCACACGUUUCCAGAUGAGUCCAUGGUAGCCGGAGUCGGAUGGGGAGGCCUCCCGUGGGCCCAGCGGGACUUCAGGACGAGGCCGUUCUCUGACGAGGGCCUCUGAGACCCUCACGGUCUUUUCUUGCUGUCAGGGUCUCUGAUCUCGGCAGCACCCACGAACAAAGACAUGUUCCUUUGUUGUAAAUUGUGUUUUAGCCGAAAUAUUACUUUUUCUAUAUAUACAUUCUUAUGAAACAAGGUUUAAUUCUGUUAGCUUAGUAUUAUAAAUUAUAAUCAAACCCAAACUAAGAGCUGGGGUAUUUUAUCAAUUUUCACAUGAAAUCUCUAGCAGGAAUAAAAUGGCAACUCUGGUGAGAACAGAACAACCUAUUAAAUAUUAGAUCCAAGAGCUGCCACUAUUUCUGUGAUAGGCUUCCUUCCUGGAGGGGUAACGGGACAUUAAGCAGGUUCUUGGCUGGAGAAAUCUUUUGCUUGAGUGAUAUAUGUAAAGCCCUCGUUUGCCAGCUGUCCGGCGUCAGGUGGAGAGACCAGCAGCUACCAUGCUGCCUGGACAGCUGGAAGCCAGCAGGGUCGCUGAGGCCAGGCGCUUGAUCCUCCCUGAGGAAGUCAUCAGGGAGGAUGCGGUCAGAGGGCAGGCCGCCCUCACGGGCAGCCACAGCGGGGCAGACGGCGGCGGGUCCUCCUCGCUGAAAAACCUGCCCCAAACUGUGCCCUUAGGUUAACGUGUCCAGCCAGGCUUCCCCCUAAGAGUGUUCUGGAGUCUUCGAUGGAGGCCUGCAAGUGUGUCUUCCAUCUUUCUUAUCAUCACCCAGCAACUUCGAAACUAAAGCACAGGCUUCCAGAAAUAAGGUUACUCUUCACAUUUUCUUUUGAAUAGUGGUGUUUCCCCCGAUGCCUCCACGGUGUGUCUGUCCUGCAGAACAAUUCCAUCUCUGGGAAGAGGACAGGGGUCAGGCCUCGCCAUCCGACAGGCUCCUGGCCUGCGUGCCGGGCACCGAGCAGAUCCUGAGGCCUUGCUCUGCUCACCCCGGGGAGCUUAGUCCCGGGCCGCCCUCUCCUUGCCUGUGGCUGACCCGCGAAGGUCAGAGUCCCCUUGCUUCAGACACCUUAGACCGGAUGAGGUCAUCUGUGAUGUUACAGGCUUCUUCCCUCCAGACUGUCCGCGAUGGACAGGGAUUUGGGCCUGGCGGCCUCACUGCAGCUCAGUUCAGACUCGGGGGGAGCGUUUCUCAUCACUUGGCUGAAGGUUCCCUUCAUCACCGAGGCGGUAAACCAGCCGUCCUCCGCUCUGUGGACUGGGCUGGGAUGGGCACAGUGUCCAAAAGAGCUCCUCCCUCCCGUUGGGCCGGCCAGAGCUUUACCUCUUCUGUCAGGCUCCAUCCACGCUGUCUUGAGGGGUUUGAGUGAGAAGCUGCCUGUCGCCGUGGAGAUCAGACAGGGCUGUGUGCCUUUCCGGCAGUAACUCCAAGGUCAAGGAAAAGCACUCCUGUAGAUUCUGAGCGGGGGCGAGUUGCUAAGUUCCAUUCGCCCCUGCUUCCUGAUCUUGCCUAGAUGAACGGAUUUCGGGUUUAAGGUGAGAAACGAGAUAAAGUGACUUGGAGCGGGACCGCGUGCUUCCCGGCUUCCCUCUAACAAGGCGUGUGCGAAGCUGAGGGUCAGUUUCAGAUCGUCACCCUUCAUCUGUGCCAGCCCAAGGCCAGGUGUGAAAACGCAUUCAUGUUUGCUUAAAGGCGUGUCCUGUGUGCAGCAUUUUGGGGGACAGCUUAAGGAUGCUUGUGUUCACAGAACUGAAAAUUUGUAGCUUCAGUGUUGCAAUACUGUAACCUUAAAAUUAUUCUUAAUAAAUGAAUGCCAGACUGUGCUGGAACUAUGUGCAUCCCAGCAAAUGCAGGGAGAUGUAAGUGCUCUUUGCUGUACAAGAGGUAGAAACCCUUUCAGGGUUACCUAAGCUCACGCCUGUACUGCAAGAGAUCCGUGACAGCCUCCUGCCUCUCCGUAGGAGCCAGCCCAAAGGGACAGACACCACCCCUUCCUUACUGGUGCAGAGAGUCCCCAGAUCCACCGCAGCCGAGCGGCAGCCUUUGUCCUGAGCCGCCCCACCCACGUGACUGGAUCCUGCUUUCUCUACCUGCUGGGCCCGGUGGGCUGGCGCUAAUGCCAGAGGGGCACCACCAUCACACCACCCAUCAGAGAGAGCAAAGAAAACGCCUCUUCAAAAAUGCCGCUAGACUCUGUCCUUGGCGGCCACCCCGGCCCUUGGGGGACUGGGCAUGCAGCUGUCUGGCCUCACUGGGCGAGCUGGCCUCGGAGCCGGGGGGACCCCUCUAUGGCCCGGAGCUGCAGCCCUUGGGGAGGGCAGUGAACAGCCCCCCUGGGAGGUGCCCCUGGCCUUUGGGCAGUGAUGCUGCAAGGAACCCUGGCCCUGAGAGACCACUCUCUCCCCCAGGCCAGCCCUGCCCAAAGCGUGCCACCCGAGGUGUGGGGGCGGGGCAGGCUCAGGAUUCCGAUGAGUUAGGAAUUAAGUAGAUGGACACGGAGGGGCUGUUAAAACCCUGGCUUCCAAACCGACAGAAAGCUAAUUGUGCUCCUGUGAAACUGCUGGAAAGGAUGAGUGACUUCUUCGCGGCCCCGUGUUUUGCUGGAUUAAUGUAAACUGCUU